UGGGGAAUAUUGGGGCAAAUGGGGGCGCAAGCCUGACCCAGCAAUGCCGCGUGAAGGAAGAAGGCUUUCGGGUUGUAAACUUCUUUUAAGAGGGAAGAGUAGAAGACGGUACCUCUUGAAUAAGCCACGGCUAACUACGUGCCAGCAGCCGCGGUAAUACGUAGGUGGCAAGCGUUGUCCGGAUUUACUGGGUGUAAAGGGCGUGUAGCCGGGUUCGCAAGUCAGAUGUGAAAUGCAGGGGGCUUAACCCCUGAGCUGCAUUUGAAACUGCGGAUCUUGAGUAUCGGAGAGGCAGACGGAAUUCCUAGUGUAGCGGUGAAAUGCGUAGAUAUUAGGAGGAACACCAGUGGCGAAGGCGGUCUGCUGGCCGACAACUGACGGUGAGGCGCGAAAGCGUGGGGAGC
rnacentral:rRNA from 1 species